UAAGCAUAUCAAUAAGCGGAGGAAAAGAAACCAACAGGGAUUGCCCUAGUAACGGCGAGUGAAGCGGCAAUAGCUCAAAUUUGAAAGCUGGCCUUUGGUCCGCAUUGUAAUUUGUAGAGGAUGCUUUUAGGCAGCCGCCGGUCUAAGUUCCUUGGAACAGGACGUCAUAGAGGGUGAGAAUCCCGUAUGUGACCGGCUCAGGCACCUUCUGUAAAGCUCCUUCGACGAGUCGAGUUGUUUGGGAAUGCAGCUCUAAAUGGGAGGUAAAUUUCUUCUAAAGCUAAAUACUGGCGAGAGACCGAUAGCGCACAAGUAGAGUGAUCGAAAGAUGAAAAGUACUUUGGAAAGAGAGUUAAAAAGCACGUGAAAUUGUUGAAAGGGAAGCGCUUGCAAUCAGACUUGGCCUCGGUUGUUCAACCGGUCUUUUGACCGGCCUAUUCAAUCGGGGGCAGGCCAGCAUCAGUUUCGGCGGCCGGAUAAAGGCCUUGGGAAUGUGGCCUCUCCUUCGGGGGAGGUGUUAUAGCCCAGGGUGUAAUACGGUCAGCUGGGACUGAGGUCCGCGCUUCGGCUAGGAUGCUGGCGUAAUGGUUGUAAGCGGCCCGUCUUGAAACACGGACCAAGGAGUCUAACAUCUAUGCGAGUGUUAGGGUGUCAAACCCUUACGCGUAAUGAAAGUGAACGGAGGUGGGAACCCGCAAGGGUGCACCAUCGACCGAUCCUGAUGUCUUCGGAUGGAUUUGAGUAAGAGCAUAGCUGUUGGGACCCGAAAGAUGGUGAACUAUGCCUGAAUAGGGUGAAGCCAGAGGAAACUCUGGUGGAGGCUCGCAGCGGUUCUGACGUGCAAAUCGAUCGUCAAAUUUGGGGUAUAGGGGGCGAAAGACUAAUCGAACCAUCUAGUAGCUGGUUCCUGCCGAAGU
rnacentral:rRNA from 1 species